rnacentral:lncRNA from 1 species
GUUUAUUGGCUAAUUAUAUAAUGACCCUAACACACUUUAUUAAUUAAUUACAUAUGUGACCCAUAAAUCUUACAAUCUCCCACUGGUCACACAUGUAUCCUUAGGAGUGUGUUAGACUUUAUGACGUCAAAAAAGUCAUUAUAAUUACCUUGAGUAUAAUCCAAAUUGUCCCGUCCAUUAAUCAUAUCAGCACAUGGAACCAAAGAGGCUUUCGUCAUAAUAAGCAUAACUAAACCCAUCAAUGAUCACCCGUACUGACACAACUAAAUGACAUAGACCCAUUAUGAAAAGUGUAGCAUGAAAAUUACAUGAAGUUGGUCAAUGCAUGUCAAUUUUCAACUGGUCCUACUUUAUCGAAUGAGAUCAUACCAUAACUUAAAUGUACAAAGUAACCAAAAAC